UUAAAAAUUUGGGGUUAAUAGUUUGAUUUUAUAAUUUUCAUUAACUGAAACGUAUAUGUAUGCAUUAAAUUAAGAGUUAAUACAUGAAAGUAGCCAUUUUGUUUUAGUAAACUUAAAAUUUAUCCACUCAAAUAAUUUUUUUUUAAAUUACCCACUUUUGUGUUAAAAGACUAAAUUACCCCGAAGAUUAAAAUUAAAAACUACCCACACUAUCUCUCUCUCCUUCCUCCCCCCACCUGCGCUCUCUCUCUCUCUCUCCUCGACGCCCGUCUGUCGCUGGCCCAGCGGCGUGGUGGUCGUAGCACCACCGCUGGCGAAGAUUUCCCCCUUUUCUCUCUCUGAAUCAGAGAUCGAUUUCCUGCGCCAGAUCUUCCAAGCCGCUCUCGUUGCAAGCCUUCUUCGGCCUCUAGAGCAAACCCAAGCCAGAGCCUUCAACUCCAUCAAACUGAUCGUCGGCUGGAAUUAAGGCUUCGGUUGGUGGAAUUGGACUUGGGUGAGAUGGUGGAUUUUGCUGCAUUAUUGGAGGGGUUUGGGAUUUUUGAGGUGGAGAUUAGGGCUUUGUCUUUCCCGCUUCUGGUUACAUCCAUGAAUCCAUGAAAUGAAUUCUUGUUCCUUUCUAGAUUGAAUGGAUAGUGAGAGGAAAUUGAUAUACCAUGAGAGGCAAAGAUUACAAUUCUGCUCAAUUGCUUUUUUUCCCAGUAAAUGCAUCGUCUGCAUUUAUCAGUAUGUUUCAGAAAGAGUGUUGUGUAGUUAAUUUGUUAGGCGCUUUACAUUUCAUUUUGUUAUUUCAGGCGUCUUCCUCUGUAUUUUUCUUAUUUUCAGUUUUUUAAAAAAAGUAUUGUGGAAAAGAAUCAAAAUUUACAAGUUUUCGAUUUUUCACCA